rnacentral:misc_RNA from 1 species
AGCAGCCGCGGUAAUUCCAGCUCCAAUAGCGUAUAUUAAAGUUGUUGCAGUUAAAAAGCUCGUAGUUGAAUUUCGGGAUCAAUAUGUUGGUCGUGCCUCGGUACGUACUAGCAUAUUGGUUUCUCCUUUCUGAAGAACCAUGAUGUCAUUUAUUUGGUGUCGUGGGGAAUCAGGACUGUUACUUUGAAAAAAUUAGAGUGUUUAAAGCAGGCUCACGCUUGAAUACAUUAGCAUGGAAUAAUGAAAUAGGACGUUUGAUUCUAUUUUGUUGGUUUCUAGGAUCGACGUAAUGAUUAAUAGGGAUAGUUGGGGGCAUUAGUAUUCAAUUGUCAGAGGUGAAAUUCUUGGAUUUAUUGAAGACUAACUACUGCGAAAGCAUUUGCCAAGGAUGUUUUCAUUAAUCAAGAACGAAAGUUAGGGGAUCGAAGACGAUCAGAUACCGUCGUAGUCUUAACCAUAAACUAUGCCGACUAGGGAUCGGAUGAUGUUAAUUUUUUAA